GUGCCAGCAGUCGCGGUAAGACAAGGGAGACGAGUGUUAUUCAUCUUUAACAGGUAUAUAGGGUACCUAGACGGUGUACAAAGGCUUAGAUAAGUACCUGUUACACUUGAGUUUGAUAUGUGAGAGGAAUAUGUCAGAAUUAUUGGUGGAAAGAUGAAAUUUGCUAAUACUAAUAGGACUGAUAACGGCGAAGGCAAACCUCUAUGUACAAACUGACGUUGAGGGACGAAGGCUCAGAGAGUGAAGAGGAUUAGAUACCCCCGUAGCCUGGGCAGACAAUGAUGAGUGCCAUAUAUAAAUGAAAGUGGAAGCACUCCACCUCAAGAGUAAUGUGGCAACGCAGGAACUGAAAUCAUUAGACCGUUUCUGAAACCAGUAGUGAAGUAUGUUAUUUAAUUCGAUGAUCCUCGAAUAACCUUACCACACAUGCGUUGCAUGGCUGUCUUCAGUUAAUGUCGUGAGAUUUGGUUAGGUCCAUUAAAUUAACGUAAACCC
rnacentral:rRNA from 1 species